GACGAACGCUGGCGGCGUGCUUAACACAUGCAAGUCGAACGGAAAGGCCCUGCUUUUGUGGGGUGCUCGAGUGGCGAACGGGUGAGUAACACGUGAGUAACCUGCCCUUGACUUUGGGAUAACUUCAGGAAACUGGGGCUAAUACCGGAUAGGAGCUCCUGCUGCAUGGUGGGGGUUGGAAAGUUUCGGCGGUUGGGGAUGGACUGGCGGCUUAUCAGCUUGUUGGUGGGGUAGUGGCUUACCAAGGCUUUGACGGGUAGCCGGCCUGAGAGGGUGGCCGGCCACAUUGGGACUGAGGUACGGCCCAGACUCGAACGGGAGGCAGCAGUGGGGAAUAUUGCACAAUGGGCGGAAGCCUGAUGCAGCAACGUCGCGUGCGGGAUGACGGCCUUCGGGUUGUAAACCGCUUUCGCCUGUGACGAAGCGGGAGUGACGGUAAUGGAUAAAGAAGCACCGGCUAACUACGUG
rnacentral:rRNA from 1 species